AUAAAGUCUCUUGAGGGCUAUGCUCAAAACUGGUGAGCUGUCACUUGCAUGGCAUUCCAAAGCAAGUCACAGGCCAGCCCAGACUCAAGGGGUGAGAAAUAGACUCCGUCUCUUGACGGGAGAAGCUUAGGGUACUUCGACCUUGUUGGCAGAUUACAAUAUUCUUGUUCAGUGAAACUCCAUUUCCAUGAAAAUAGCUCUUGAUAAGAUGAAAGUUUUUAAAAAACGUAAUGUCAAAUCUUGAAAUCAUCUGUGGUAACUUAUACCUAAAUAGUAUUAGUCUGUGGUUGUCACCUUUUCUUUUUUUAACCAAGCAGGGCCUAGUCCAUUAGUGCUGAUGGAUUUGUUACAUGAGUUAAAGUGGUGUGUAUAUAAAAUAUUUGUAAUAGUGCCUGGCAAAUACUAAUCACUAUCAAAAUAUUAGUUAUCAUUAUUGUUAAUGUUGAUUUUUAUACAUAAUCUGUGGUGAACUCAAAUUCUAAACGGAGUUUGGGGUAUAUAUUUAUUGUCUUACAAUUCUGGAGGUCAGAAUUCUGAAAUAGGUCUUACAGAGUAAAAUUAAGGUGUUGGCAGGACUGGUUCUUGCUGAAGUCUCUAGGGCGAAACCCAUUUCCUUGCCUUUUCCAUCUUAAAGGGGUUGUCUGCAUUCUGUGACUCAGGGUCCCUUCCUCCAUUUUCUUUUCUUUUUCUUUUUUUUUUUUUGAUGGAGUUUUGCUCCUGUUGCCCAGGCUGGAGUGGAGUGCAAUGGCGCGAUGUCAGCUCACCGCAACCUCUGCCUCCUGGGUUCAAGCAAUGCUCCUGCCUCAGCCUCCCGAGUAGCUGGGAUUACAAGCAUAUGCCACCACGCCCGGCUAAUUUUGUAUUUUUGGUAGAGACGGGGUUUUUCCAUGUUGGUCAGGUGAUCCACCCACCUCGGCCUCCUAAAGUGCUGGGAUUACAGGUGUGAGCCACGACGCCUAGCCUCUUUUUUUUUAGCGGCUGAGUUUUGCUCUGUCGCCCAGGCUGGAGUGCAGUGG
rnacentral:lncRNA from 10 species